rnacentral:rRNA from 1 species
UACGAGGGGAGCAAGCGUUGCUCGGAUUUACUGGGCGUAAAGGGCGCGUAGGCGGCCACGACAAGUCACUUGUGAAAUCUCCGGGCUUAACUCGGAACGGUCAAGUGAUACUGUCGGGCUAGAGUACAGAAGGGGCAACUGGAAUUCUCGGUGUAGCGGUGAAAUGCGUAGAUAUCGAGAGGAACACCUGCGGCGAAGGCGGGUUGCUGGGCUGAUACUGACGCUGAUGCGCGAAAGCCAGGGGAGCGAACGGG